GAUUAGCCGCUGUUCAAGCUCUGGCAUGCAUGGUAUAUAUGGAUACAUCCAAGGUCACCAGGGCACUAUGUGGAGCUGUUCCCCUAGACUCUGAAGAUACAAGUGUUAGUCUUCUGUUGUUGUUUUGUUCUUGAUUAUUACAGACCUCUUUCUGAAAAGCCCGGAAUUGGUACAAGCCAUGUUUCCCAAACUGAACAAUCAAGAAAGAGUUACACUGUUAGACCUUAUGAUAGCCAAGAUAACGAGUGAUGAGCCACUCACCAAGGAUGACAUCCCUGUGUUUUUGCGGCAUGCUGAGUUGAUUGCAAGCACCUUUGUGGAUCAGUGCAAGACUGUGCUCAAGCUGGCCUCUGAGGAGCCUCCUGAUGAUGAGGAGGCACUGGCUACAAUUAGGCUUCUCGACGUCCUGUGCGAAAUGACUGCGAAUACCGAGCUGCUCGGCUAUCUGCAGGUUUUCCCUGGCUUGCUGGAAAGAGUGAUUG
rnacentral:sRNA from 1 species